CCUGGCUCAGGAGUGAACGCUGGCGGCGCGCUUAAGACAUGCAAGUCGAACGGAACUUAGUUGAAUGUUUACAUGAUACGAAAGUUUAGUGGCGGACGGGUGAGUAACACGUGAGCAACCUGCCUUCAAGACUGGGGACAACAGAGGGAAACUUCUGCUAAUACCGGAUAUGACCACACUACCGCAUGGUAGAGGGGUGAAAGGAGUAAUCCGCUUGAAGAUGGGCUCGCGGCUGAUUAGAUAGUUGGUGAGGUUAAACGGGCCCCACCAAGUCUGCGAUCAGUAGCCGGAUUGAGAGAUUGAUCGGCCACAUUGGGACUGAGACACGGCCCAGACUCCUACGGGAGGCAGCAGUCGGGAAUAUUGCACAAUGGGGGAAACCCUGAUGCAGCGACGCCGCGUAAAGGAAGAAGGUCUUCGGAUUGUAAACUUUUGUCGACAGGGAAGAAGAAAGUGACAGUACCUGUGGAGGAAGCCCGGCUAACUACGUGCC
rnacentral:rRNA from 1 species